GUGCACACGACUCUAGUUUUUCGGUAAACACUUAACGUUAUAAUACUUUUUCAAUAAUAUUAAUACCCUUUUCUUUUAGAUUUUUAACGCUAAAUUCUUUUUAUAACACGCCUUCAGCCUUUACAGUUUAUUACGCCUGCCUUCAGCAUUUCAAAAAACAUUUUUUAACCUAUCACCCGACGUUGGAGUUUUUAACCUGACAUGGUAAACCCACGCCGUUUUCAAACAUUUCACUUAAUUCUUUAAUCCAUAAUUUUAUAUUUAAUCAUCGGUCCGUCGUAGUUUUCGUAAGAGAAAUUUUCCACAUAAUCAUUUUUUCACGUGUUCAUCAUUCUUAGUUUUUGACGUCGUACCUGAAGACGCUUUUAGAAAAAGCGAAACAUUGUUGUACCGAAAUUAGAAAAA